AGAGGACCGGCUGGAAGACUCCAGAAGUACAGUAUGCGUCUGCCCCCUAGCGUAAGUCUUUCAUCGGCCUGAAAAAAAUCCAACUUUCAAAGAAACGCUGCUCUUAAAGGGAAAGGGACGUGGGGGGAGGACGUAGGCAAAGCGAGACGGGGGGAGGCAAGCAACUCCUAAACUUCUGUACGUUUAUAAUAUGAUUAAUUCCUCCGGAUUGCCAGUUAAGGAGCUAUAUCAUUUUAAAAAUAAAAUAAAAUAACAUCUUUUUGUGCUCCGGACUUGCAAACUUCCGAGAAAAUUGUGAUUUUUUUUUUUUAAGGGAGGAGGCGACAUAGGAUGGAUAAGGAAUCCCCCCGCCGGUCUAAUAGGGAGAAGCGAGUGUGAGCGAGUGAAUGUGCGUGCGUGCGUAUUUCUCGCGCUAGGGAAAGUCUAGAGCUCUUCCACGCGGCUUUUUUGUUUUUUUUAAGUGACAUCAGCCUGAAGAUUAUUAAUCCCCCCCCCACUCCCCAACUUCCAACAAUUAAAAGGAACAAACAAAACUUUGCGCCUGGAAACCUGGAUUUGGCAACAGAUAUCCCCUCUGGCAAUGGAAUUCCUGAGGAUGGUUCUAAUGGAAAGUGCCACGUGACAGUGCCACAUGUUUUCUAGAAAAAAGGAAGAAAGCAAGCACAAAGAACUGUUGACAGACUUGCCCAGGGGAGCAUUUUCUCCACAUGGUAUAGAAAUCUGCCCCGCCUUCAUGUGCAGAAGGUAACGUUUGCAUAGGUUACACAUCUUUGUGUAUGUGUGCAUGUAGAGGAGAAAGACUGCAUGAAUCACAUUUGUGGACCAUAAAGGCAUAUGCAAAGAACACAUGAGGCCCAUGCAGAUGUUCAGAAUCCAUGGUAAUGAAGGCAUGGGGAGAAGGGAUUGUGCCUUUUGCGCAAGUUCCUGGUGAGCACGUAUUUGUCCGAAAGCCUGACUGCUGCACUAAAUGCACACAAGCUCUCUCUGAGCAACCAAGACCUUGCAGAAGGCAGUGCCCUCAGUUGCACAUAUAGUAAGACAUUAUGUGGAUGCAGGGUGUGUCACCCCAUUCACCUCACAUGCAUAAGAACCUAAGAAGAGUCUGCUGGACUAAUCUAGUCCAGCCAAUGACUAGUCUAGGUCCAGCAUCCUGUUCUCACAGUGGCCUGUGGGAAAUCAGCACGCAGGACCUGACUAGGUGAUCUUGGGCUGGUCACUACCUCUCUGCUUAACCUACCUCAUAGGGUUGUUGUACAGGUGAAAAAUAAAUGGGAGGGAAGAACCAUGUACACUACUUUGAGCUCAUUAAAGGAAAUGUGGCAUAUAGCUGUGAUUCACAAAUAAAAGGAAAAGAGCCUUCAGCAAUGAGACCACACAUUGCUCAUUGGUGUGAUGGGUGUUUAUGCAAGUGUCCCUAGUUUCUUAAGUAAAAUCCCCAUUGAGCACAGAGGGAUUUAUUUCAACAUAAACAUGCAGUGCAUCAGGCUACCUAAGACCAGAAGAAGAGUUCUGCUGGAUCAAGCCAAAGCCCAUUUAGUCCAACACCCUACUCUCAAAGCGGCCAGUCAGAAGCCACAAUGGGAAAGUCCACAAGCAGGACUGAGGGCAGCCCUCCCAUGGUUCCCAACAACUGGUUUUCAGAGGCAUACUGCCUCCAACACAGUAGGUAGAACUUAGCCUGGAGGCUAGUAACUAUUGAUAGCUUGAGUGGGAGAGGAUAUCAAAAGACAGAUCAAGGGAAGGACCUUGGAUCUGGAUGAGGAAGAAAAGGAAAGAAGAGAAGAAAAGAAAAAGGAAGUCGUGGUGUACGUGGGGGGUGUCUUCUUCCAAAGUACUUGACCCACCCUGACAAUUUUCCAUGUCUAGUUUCCUCUGCUAACAAACUAACAAACUCCAAAUGACCCCAUUUAAAUUCUGAGGGGUCUUUGGCAAAGCACACACAGCCAUUUUGCGCCCAUCUUGUUUGCCCACCACGAGGAUCCCAGAGCAUAAUCCAUCUUUAAAUAUUAUGGGUCUAAUUUGACUGAGCAAUAUUUGUUCGCGCGUUGGCAGCUAAUGUAAGGAAAACAAAAAAGGGGGAAUCCCGGGAGUUGUACAGUUGGGAUCUGCGUGGCCGCAUUAACCUCGAGUCGCUUCCUGUAGUGGAGUCGGAGCUUAGGACUCAAGUGGCGCUUGACAGAUGUGUGUUAAAAAUGGAUAAACUAGGAAGGGAAGGUUUUGAAUUCUCGACACUCAUCUUAACCUUACGCUACUAGUAAAUCACAGUGUUCCAGAGGCCUCGUUUCAGAUAUCGCCUUACAAUAUAUUUUGCAUCUUUCUCCUCCUGCCCUCCACCCACUAAAAUGGAGCGUCAUGAUGAAUGGACACAGCAGGGUUUGGUGCGCUGUCUCAGUGAUCGCAACUGUACAGAGUACAAUCUAGUCUCCCAUUUUCACUUCUAGUGGAACCUUCAAUGAAGGCGUCUCCAAGUCUCCGGUGAUGCCCAAGAGUGUUUAGAUGGAGGGUCUAGAUGGAGACACCUAUUGAAAUGUGUCUGAAGAAGAUUAAUAGGACUUGUCAGUGUUGGGAAAAGCGCUGCUUUGCGGUAUUCCAAUUGAACUCCAUUUAUCAAGCGAUCAUGGAUUAAACAGUAACUCAGGGCUGACAAUGAAAAUGUUACCAGGAGGGCGGUGAAGAAUAGAUUGAAGAAAACCAAAAAUGCUGUUGUCGUGCUUUCCAGAUAUACGGAAAAUCUGGAACAAUUGAGGACGGAUGCAGAUUCUUGCAGCACAUCAGGAAACUUCUGAGGACCAACUUAGUUUGCCAUUCAUUGCCAGCUUCAAGAAUCCCAUGUUUUUGGAAACUGUGAACAAGUUUCCAGGGAGGGUGCAGGGAGGGAGAAUUCUGAACAUUUGCAGAGAGCAGCACAGCGCCAUAGUUAUUUAUUAAACCCUCCUAGCCUAGAAUGACCUCCUGACAUUGCACAGAGGAGCAAUUCCUAAAAGUACCCACAAUGGCUCAAACAUAUAUAGGUGAUCUAGGUAGCUCUGCCAGGGUGCCAAAAUUAGGAAGGGGCCAUAUCCCAAAGGCAGAACAUAUGUUUGGCAUGCAGAAAGUCUCCACUCCAGGCUCCUGACUUAAAUCAUGGGCAAGGGAGGGGGAAAUUUCUAUUGAGAGCUGCAUUCCCUCAGAGGUAAUCUAUUGGUAAGAGCAGGAAGCAAAAAAUGGAGCCAGAGCUAAACAUACCAUUUUUCUUUUCUCUUUUUGCUAACCUAGUCUCCCUCCACCCUCCCUCUCCCCAGCACUCUUUUUCCUCUCUCUUUCCCACCCAGGGAAGGGACAAAUUUCUCUUGCUGGAGCCUCAACUGAUUACUUGCAGAGACCUUAUUUAUUUGUUAUUUACACCAUGUGCAACAAUAGCUCUUAUUCUUUAUUAUGCUGUAUCUUUUAUUCUUUAUUUAACCUUUUCAGCAUGGGUGGUGCUGUGGUUUAAACCACAGAGCCAAGGGCUUGCCAAUCGGAAGGUCGGCGCUUCGAAUCCUCGCGACGGGGCCCUUUUCACUAAUAUAUGCAUUUUACGCACACUUUUCUCUAUAUGGAUUUUUGUGCACAUAACGUAGCUGGAGAACUGCAUUGCACGAUCUAGAGGACUGUGCAUUUUGAGGGUAACUGUUUUUCAGUUUGUGUAUUCUUUGGGGAAAAUAUGAAUUUUCACCUUUCAAUGCAAAUGGAAUCCAAUUCCUCCCCCCAUCCCUGUCCAGCUACCAUAGCAUUGCUAGAGGGUGUUACUUCUGUGGAUCCUCAACCCACAACCAUCUCCGUGUCUCAAAAGAGCAGAAAAGCUGCAUUACUGAUUUGAAAAGUAAAUUUCAAGGUUUCUUUUCUAUGUGGUUCCAAUGGGGGGGGGAGGUGUUAUCCAUCCAUCCCCCUUUUAGUUGAUUGUUAGACACCUUGAAUUAUUUGCAUGAUAAUGCCCCACUAUAAAUGGAUUAUAUUGUAACCUAUUGAGCUUUGUUGGUUUAAUGCUGACAAUGGCAUGAUUCGGAAGUAAGAUAGCAAAUGGACUCUUUAGAGAAAUUUCUUUUGAUAAGCAUGAGGCAAAGAAGUUGGGUGGACAGGGAAGAUAGAAGAGGCGUUGAAUGAGAAGAGUGGCGGUGAAAGGAGAGAAGGCUAUACGUGAAGCAGGGAGUGCUUUGCUAGGGAAAAAAACAACACAAAUCCAAAUUUUGCAUCCCUUUCCAGUUGUGAUGGAUUUGGAUACAGGAAAUUAAUGAAUAAUUGAAGUAUUUUUCAACAGGAUUAUGUACCUUUUCAGGGAGCAGAUUGGCCCUUUACCAGCUAUAGUAGCUAGCAAAGAAACAAAAUAGCUGGGCCAUCACUGCCGACAGGCCUUGUGCCCCUCAGCAACAUCCAAAGGCCCUGAUCCACUAGGUGCUGGGGUGGAUCGCACCCUGCACCUUGCAGAGUCAGGCUCAGGUUGCCAAUGGGCCCAGCACUGGCGGCAGCAACAAGCAACUGUAGCUCGCCCAGCCCUCCCCAUUGCCACUUCACCACUGCACUUAUCUGACCUGUGGGUUCUGGAUCACAGGCUCUACUGGUCAAAAUGGGAGCCUCAGCGAUCACCCUCUACCACCAGAAACAAACCAGGACUGCUCCAACAAAAUGCACAUGGCAAAAAGGAGCUCUAGUCCCUGGUGGGCUGCCCCCUUACCCACUUGUGAUUGGCCAAGUGGAUAGCCAGCCAAUCAGGAUUUCCCCCCCUUCACUUCUCACUUCCCUCUGUGGCCCACUAGACUCUUGCUGUGAACCCUCAUUAAUGCAUUUUCCUCCUGUGGCCCCCUCAUUUGGGGAGCACUAUUAGGGAAACUAUAGGGUUGCCCCCUAAACCUCAACCAACCCCAAUCUUCCUCCCUUCUUAUUUACAACCAGUCCAGAGUGUGAUGCUAAGUGUCAACUUUCUUUCCCCCCUUAGUCUCAAUGUUGUCUUCCUUGUAGAACUCAGCAGGAAGAAGGAUGGGGACAAAGAUAGCCUCACUUGGCUCUGCCUGUCAUUGGCCUUGGCACCACCUUGGGCUUCCUGUCUUCCACCUUACCAGUCCCAAUGGACACCAGGCACAGCUGCCUUCCAGCCCAACACUGGCCCAUUAAGACCUCCAACUGAUCCAACCAGGCAACCCUUUUGUGAUGUCUUAUUUAAGUUCCUAUUGCUAACGGUCCACAUUUUAUUUUCUCUUUGACUCUUUCUUCCUCUUGAUGAAUUGAGAAAUAUUGUCUUCAAAAGCACUUUGAUCAAUGUUUUCUAAAAAUAAAGCGAGGAAGUUUCUCUUGGAAAAAAAGAGUUGACAGAGGCCUUUGAAAUUGUGGAGUGGAACUAAACUAUUAGCCAACCUACUGUGCGCCAUCACGAGAAAGCCUGAUCCCAUUUAAGCCCCACUAUGCAUUGCCAGAACACUUUAAAGAGAACAUGGAACUCGGUGUUUUCUUAAGUCUAUGAAGCACAACAACACUAAAAAAAGUAUAUAUUUUUAAAAAUUGGCUUCUGUACAUUAUUCACUAAAUAAAGAACGUUGACAACAACACAGACUGAAAUCUC